UACGAAGGGUGCAAACGUUGCUCGGAAUUAUUGGGCGUAAAGCGCACGUAGGCGGCAUUGCAAGUCGGAUGUGAAAUCUUAUGGCUUAACCAUAAAAGUGCAUCCGAAACUGCAGUGCUUGAGUACUUAAGAGGAUCGCGGAAUUCCCGGUGUAGAGGUGAAAUGCGUAGAGAUCGGGAAGAACAUCGGUGGCGAAAGCGCUCUACUGGACCGCAACUGACACUCAGGGACGAAAGCUAGGGGAGCGAAUGGG
rnacentral:rRNA from 1 species